UAAACAGCAUUGAUUCUGAUGGAGGUAUAAUAAAUUUUAUUACGUUAAUGAAAAAUUUAAAAUUUCUAG
rnacentral:tRNA from 1 species